CAGCUCCACGAGUGGGAACUACAAUUAUUGGGCCUAAAGCGUCCGUAGCCGGUUUGAUAAAUUUCUUGUGAAAUUGUUGUGCUUAACGUAACAACGUGCAGGGAAGACUGUCAAACUCGGGACUGGGAGGAGUUAGAAGUAUCUCUGGGGUAGCGGUAAAAUGUUAUAAUCCUAGAGAGACUACCUAUGGUGAAGACAUCUAACUAGAACAGGUCCGACGGUGAGGGACGAAAGCUAGGGGAGCAAAACGGAUUAGAUACCCGAGUAGUCC
rnacentral:rRNA from 1 species